UCUGUAAAGUUCCUUCGACGAGUCGAGUUAGUUGGAAACGCUGCUCUAAAUGGGAGGUAUAUGUCUUCUAAAGCUAAAUACCCGCCAGAGACCGAUAGCGCACAAGUAGAGUGAUCGAAAGAUGAAAAGCACUUUGAAAAGAGAGUUAAAAAGUACGUGAAAUUGUUGAAAGGGAAGCGUUUAUGACCAGACUUGGGCUUGGUUAAUCAUCUGGGGUUCUCCCCAGUGCACUUUUCCAGUCCAGGCCAGCAUCAGUUUUCCCCGGGGGAUAAAGACUUCGGGAAUGUGGCUCUCUUCGGGGAGUGUUAUAGCCCGUUGUGUAAUACCCUGGGGGGGACUGAGGUUCGCGCAUCUGCAAGGAUGCUGGCGUAAUGGUCAUCAACGACCCGUCUUGAAACACGGACCAAGGAGUCGUCUUCGUAUGCGAGUGUUCGGGUGUCAAACCCCUACGCGUAAUGAAAGUGAACGCAGGUGAGAGCUUCGGCGCAUCAUCGACCGAUCCUGAUGUUCUCGGAUGGAUUUGAGUAAGAGCAUACGGGGCCGGACCCGAAAGAAGGUGAACUAUGCCUGUAUAGGGUGAAGCCAGAGGAAACUCUGGUGGAGGCUCGCAGCGGUUCUGACGUGCAAAU
rnacentral:rRNA from 1 species